ACCAUGAAAAUGAGGUCAAGGUCACAUGACAUCUGCCCGCUAGACAUGUACACCUUACAAUCAUUCCAUACAACAAAUAUAGUAGACCUAUUGCAUAUACAUGUAGUAUGAAAAAAACAGACCAAAACACAAAAAUUUAACUAUAACCACUGAACCAUGAAAAUGAGGUCAAGGUCAGAUGACACCUGCCAGUUGGACAUGUACACCUUACAGUCCUU
rnacentral:lncRNA from 1 species